rnacentral:rRNA from 1 species
CAGCAGCCCGGUAAUACGUAGGUGGCAAACGUAGUCCGGAAUUAUUGGGCGUAAAGGGCUCGCAGGCGGUUUCUUAAGUCUGAUGUGAAAGCCCCCGGCUCAACCGGGGAGGGUCAUUGGAAACUGGGAAACUUGAGUGCAGAAGAGGAGAGUGGAAUUCCACGUGUAGCGGUGAAGUGCGUAGAGAUGUGGAGGAACACCAGUGGCGAAGGCGACUCUCUGGUCUGUAACUGACGCUGAGGAGCGAAAGCGUGGGGAGCGAGCAGGAUUAGAUACCCCCGUAGUCCCUGUCUCUUAUACC